UGGGGGGGUUGCCUAAUACAUGCAAGUCGAGCGCGGGAAGCAAGCUGAUCCUCUUCGGAGGUGACGCUUGUGGAACGAGCGGCGGACGGGUGAGUAACACGUGGGCAACCUGCCUGUAAGACUGGGAUAACCCCGGGAAACCGGGGCUAAUACCGGAUAAUACUUUUCAUCACCUGAUGGGAAGUUGAAAGGUGGCUUUUAGCUACCACUUACAGAUGGGCCCGCGGCGCAUUAGCUAGUUGGUGAGGUAACGGCUCACCAAGGCAACGAUGCGUAGCCGACCUGAGAGGGUGAUCGGCCACACUGGGACUGAGACACGGCCCAGACUCCUACGGGAGGCAGCAGUAGGGAAUCUUCCGCAAUGGACGAAAGUCUGACGGAGCAACGCCGCGUGAGUGAUGAAGGUUUUCGGAUCGUAAAGCUCUGUUGUUAGGGAAGAACAAGUGCCGUUCGAAUAGGGCGGCACCUUGACGGUACCUAACCAGAAAGCCCCGGCUAACUACGUGCCAGCAGCCGCGGUAAUACGUAGGGGGCAAGCGUUGUCCGGAAUUAUUGGGCGUAAAGCGCGCGCAGGCGGUCCUUUAAGUCUGAUGUGAAAGCCCACGGCUCAACCGUGGAGGGUCAUUGGAAACUGGAGGACUUGAGUACAGAAGAGGAGAGUGGAAUUCCACGUGUAGCGGUGAAAUGCGUAGAGAUGUGGAGGAACACCAGUGGCGAAGGCGACUCUCUGGUCUGUAACUGACGCUGAGGCGCGAAAGCGUGGGGAGCGAACAGGAUUAGAUACCCUGGUAGUCCACGCC
rnacentral:rRNA from 1 species